AGCGCCCUUCUCUACUGAAGAUGGAGAGAUUUGAGAAGAAGGCACUUGAGAGAAAAGCAUCAGAGCUGGAGGAUGAGCUCAAGGUUCUGAUUGACCUGCGUGCCGAUAACCAGCGUCUGAAAGAUGAGAACGCCUCCCUCAUCCGCGUCAUCAGCAAGAUCUCCAGAUGAGCCCUAUAUGUGCCGCUA